CUUCCGCCAUGUGAGAAUGCAGCAAGAAGGUGCCCUGUAUGAAGCAGAGGGCCCUCACCAGGCACCGAAUCCGGUGACACCUUGAUGUUGAACUUCCCGGCCUUCAGAACUGUGACACAGAGCAUGAGUGGAAUACUAAUACAUUCAAGGGCAAAAUCAAAACCCCAGAAGAUCUCUAAAAGUCUGAAUGAAUCAGCCCAUAUUACAAGAUAAAGUCCAUAAUGGUAAACGGAAGGCUCUGGUCUUGGUUUAUAAAAUCCAACCACUCAAAUAUGUAGUUGCUGGAAGUUUUGUGGCCAUGGGGAUGCUGACAAAGAUUGCUUGGGAUGCGCACAAGGCAGCUGCGAAGCCUGGGAGGAGGGGUGCCGCCAGGCCGGGCUCUCCACUGGCCACGCUGGACUGUACUGCCGUGAUCUCGGUUCACUGCAACCUCCCUGCCUCGGGCUCCUGUGAUUCUCCUGCCUCGGCCGGCCGAGUGCCUGGGAUUGCAGGCGCGCGCCGCCACUCCUGAAUGGUUUUUGUAUUUUUGGUGGAGACAGGGUUUCGCUGUGUUGACCGGGCUGGUCUCCAGCUCCUGGCCUGGAGUCAUCUGCCUGCCUCUUCCUCCCGAGGUGCUGGGAUUGCAGACGGAGUCUCGCUCACUCAGUGCUCAAUGGUGCUCAGGCUGGAGUGCAGUGGCGUGAUCUGGGCUCGCUACAACCUCCACCUACCAGCCUCCUGCCUUGGCCUCUUAAAGUGCUAAGAUUACAGCCUCUGCCCCGCCGCCACCCCGUCUAGGAAGUGAGGAGCUUCUCUGCCUGGCCGCCCAUCGUCUGGGAUGUGAGGAGCGCCUCUGCCCAGCUGCCCCGUCUGGGAAAUGAGGAGCGCCUCUGCCCGGCCGCCCCGUCUGGGAGGUGAGGAGUGCCUCUGUCCCGCCACCACCCCGUCUGGGAGGAAGUGAGGAGCGCCUCUGCCUGGCUGCCCCGUCUGGGAGAUGAGGAGCACCUCUGCCCGGCCGCCCCGUCUGGGAGGUGAGGAGCGCCUCUGCCUGGCCGCCACCCCGUCUGGGAGGAAGUGAGGAGCGCCUCUGCCCGGCUGCCCCAUCUGGGAAGUGAGGAGCGCCUCUGCCCGGCCGCCUCCUCUGGGAAGUGAGGAGCACCUCUGCCCGGCCGCCCCGUGUGGGAGGUGAGGAGCGCCUCUGCCCGGCCGCCCCCUCUGGGAGGUGAGGAGCGCCUCUGCCCGGCCGCCCCGUCUGGGAGGUGAGGAGCGCCUCUGCCCGGCCGCCCCCUCUGGGAGGUGAGGAGCGCCUCUGCCCGGCCGCCCCGUCUGGGAGGUGAGGAGCGCCUCUACCUGGCCGCCCUGUCUGGGAGGUGUACCCAACAGCUCCGAAGAGACAGCGACCAUCAGGAGCGGGCCAUGAGGACGAUGGCGGUUUUGUUGAAAAGAAGGGGGGGAAGUGUGGGGAAAGGAAGGAGAGAUCAGAUUGUUGCUGUGUCUGUGUAGAAAGAGGUGGGCAUAGGAGACUCCAUUUUGUUCUGACUAGGAGAAAUUCUUCUACCUUGGGUGGCUGUUGAUCUAUGGCCUUUCCCCUAGCCCCGUGCUCUCUGAAACAUGUGCUGCGUCAACUCAGGGUUAAAUGGAUUAAGGGCGGUGCAAGAUGUGCUUUGUUAAACAGAUGCUUGAAGGCAGCAUGCUCUUUAAGAGUCAUCACCACUCCCUAAUCUCAAGUACCCAGGGGCACAAACACUGCAGAAGGCCUCAGGGACCUCUGCCUAGGAAAACCAGAGACCUUUGUUCAUGUGUUUAUCUCCUGACCUUCUCUCCACUAUUAUCCUAUGACCCUGCCAUAUCCCCCUCUCCGAGAAACACCCAAGAAUCAUCAAUAAAUACUUCAUAAAUUAAAAAAAAAAAAAAGAAAGAAAAUCCUUUUAAAUCCCUUGUAACCUGACAUUAGCCACCUCAAGCAGUUAAGAUUUUUGGCUUUUGAAAUUUACAAAAAGUAACCUCACAGGUGAAAUCGACAAGCCUUAAUUAGGUUAUGACUUAACCAUGAGUGCAUGUGUACAAGGUAUUUUUAUAGGGGUGAUAGGCGGUUUUUGAAACUGUCAUUUCAAAAUUGUGACUAAGAUAGUGAAAGAGAUCCAACCCAACCAACUCCAUUUUGUUUCCAGCCCCCAAGCUUUGCUUGCUUAUCCCUGGGCGUAGACCAAACCAACUUUGGGAGGAGCCUGGUUUAGAGGUUAUAGUCUAAUAUAAAGAUGAUGACAGCCCCUUCUUAAAAAAAAAAAAAAAAAAAAUUCAUGUCUGCACUGUAUUUAUAGUUACCUUAUUUUUUGACCCAUUGCUUAUGCUUGAACAAGACUCUUUUUUUUUUUCUUUGAGACAGAGUCUUGCUCUGUCACCCAGGCUGUAAUGCAGUGGCACAAUCACGGCUCACUGCAGCCUCCAUCUCCUGGUCUCAAGCAAUCCUCCCACCUCAGCCUCCCUAGUUGCUGGGACCACAGGCUCAUGCCACCAUGCCCAGCUAAAAAACAACACUCCCCAUGCCGCCUCACCAAAAAAAAAAAAAAAAAAAACACAAAGAAGGCUCUUAAGAAGUUCAAUUUUCUAAGUAAAAAUUUGUGAAACUAUUUUUGUUGUUUCAUUACCAUUCAUUUCUAAGACCAAAGGAUACAUACCGUUCUCUGCUUUCUUCUCCCUAAAGCCAAACUUUUUUUCUUUCUUUCUAUGGUUAUGUCAUGUUAAUUUUUUUUUUUUUUUUUUUUUUGAGACGGAGUCUCGCUCUGUCACCCAGGCUGGAGUGCAGUCACGCAGUCUCAGCUCACUGCAAGCUCCGCCUCCCGGGUUCAAGCAACUUUCCUGCCUCAGCCUCCCGAGUAACUGGGGCUUCAGGUGUGUGCCACUACACCCAGCUAAUUUUUGUAUUUUUAGUAGAGACAGGGUUUUACUAUGUUAGCCAGGCUGGUCUUGAACUCCUGACCUCAUGAUCCGCCCCCCUCCACCUCCCAAAGUGCUGGGAUUACAGGCGUAAGCCACCACGCCUGGCCAUGUCACGUUAAUUUUAAUGAGGUGAAAUAUCUAUCAAGCUUAAAAUCAUAUGAGAAAUUUGAAGGAAAAUGAUUAUAGAUUUUAUUCAGAAAAGAUACUCUGGGUCAUCAGUUAUUCCUUUUUUUCUGAUUAUUAAGGCUGAUUUAAAAAAAAAAACUCUUUAUUUUGAAAUAUGUAUGGGCUCACAGAAAGCUGCAACACUUACACAUAGAGUUCCAUGUACUCAUCGCCCAUCUUCCCCCAGUGGUGACAUCUUAUAUAACCAUAGUAGCAUAUUAAAACCAGUAAACUGGCAUGGAAUAACACUAGUAACUAGAGUAUAGACCUUACUCUGCAUUCACCAGUUUUUACAUGCACUCAUGUGUGUGUGUAUUUAUAGUUCUAUGCAAUUUGACCCCAGUUAUAGAUGAGUACAUAAUUACUGUUGUAGCUAACACAACAAUUAGGAUACAGAAUUGUUCCGUCAGCACAAAGGAACUCCCUCAUUCUACCCCUUUGCAUCCUCCCUCCCUCCCCUGUUCAUAAUCCCUGGCCACCACUAAUCUGUUCUCCAUCUCUACACUUUUGUCAUUUCCAGGAUGUUCUAUAAAUGGAGUCAUACAGUAUGUAACCUUUUGACAUUGACUUUUUCACCCAGCAUAAUGUCCUUAAGACCCACCCAGUUUGUCUCAUGUAUCCAUAGUUCAUUCCUUUGCAUGGCUGAAUAGUAUUCCACUGUAUGGAUAUGCCACAGUUUGCUUAACCAUUCGCCCUUUGAAAGACAUUUGGAUUGUUCACAGUUUUUUUGCUAUUACAAAUAAAGCUAC